CCUACGGGCGGCAGCAGUAACGAAUAUUCCGCAAUGCGCGAAAGCGUGACGGAGCAAUGCCGCGUGCAGGAUGAAGCAGCUUCGCUGUGUAAACUGCUGUCAGGGGCUAGAAACAAUGAUCAGCCUCAGAGGAAGGGCCGGCUAAACUCGUGCCAGCAGCCGCGGUAAUACGAGUGGUCCAAGCGUUAAUCGGAAUCACUGGGCUUAAAGGGUGCGUAGGCGGGCCAGAAAGCGUCUUGUGAAAUCCCCCGGCUCAACCGGGGAACAGCAGGGCGAACUACUGGUCUUGAGGAAGGUAGAGGUCGGUGGAACGAUCGGUGGAGCGGUGAAAUGCGUAGAUAUCGAUCGGAACGCCAAAGGUGAAGACAGCCGACUGGGCCUUUCCUGACGCUGAGGCACGAAAGCGUGGGGAGCAAACAGGAUUAGAUACCCUUGUAGUC
rnacentral:rRNA from 1 species